GAGAGAGAGAGAGAGACAGCUAGACGUAGAAGAGGGGUAUUCUCAAAGGAUCCAAAACUCUCUUAAACACGAUCUAUAAAAAAAAAAAAAAAACUCUCUUAAACACUUGUAAGGAGAAAAAAAGAGGCAGAGAGAAUUUUCUCGAGAAAAAAACCCUCUUCCUUUUCCUUCGCGUGAAAAUCUUUGCUCCAUUGAGGGUGCCGUGACCCCCUUCCACCAGAUUUUCCUCUGAUCCAAAGCGCAACAAUGCUCUCGCUGCAGGGCGAUCCGCGGCAGCACCUCAAUCAACAGCUCCAAUUGGCUCCGUACAAAGCGGAGCCCCGCGAUGAGUCGUUCGCUGCUGCUGCUGCUGCUGCUUCUUCUUCUGCGGCCAAUCUCAAGCGCUCUCAGGCCUUGGACUCACAUGAAGUUGAUGAAGGCAUGCUCAUGGCCCUUGCUCAUCAGAUGUAUAAAGCUGGAAAUUUUAAGCAGGCAUUGGAACACAGCAAUGCUGUUUAUGAGAGAAACCCACAGCGUACUGAUAAUCUUCUUCUGUUGGGUGCAAUCCAUUAUCAGUUGCAUGAUUUUGAUAUGUGCGUUGCGAAAAAUGAAGAAGCUCUUCGAAUUGACCCCCGCUUUGCUGAGUGCUAUGGAAAUAUGGCAAAUGCUUGGAAGGAGAAAGGAAAUAUUGAUUUUGCAAUCCGCUACUAUUUGAUUGCUAUCGAGCUUCGACCCAAUUUUGCUGAUGCAUGGUCAAAUUUAGCAAGUGCAUACAUGCGGAAAGGAAGAUUCAGUGAGGCAGCCCAAUGUUGUCGUCAGGCUCUUGCAUUGAACCCUCGUUUGGUUGAUGCACACAGUAACCUUGGGAAUUUGAUGAAAGCUCAAGGUUUAGUGCAAGAGGCAUACAACUGCUAUGUUGAGGCUCUUCGAAUCCAACCAAAUUUUGCAAUUGCAUGGUCCAAUCUUGCCGGCCUUUUCAUGGAAGCUGGUGAUCUUAACAGGGCUCUCCAAUAUUACAAGGAAGCUAUAAAGCUCAAACCAACCUUUUCUGAUGCCUACCUGAAUCUCGGAAAUGUAUAUAAGGCUCUGGGAAUGCCUUCAGAGGCUAUAGUAUGUUACCAGCGAGCUCUUCAGGUGCGACCAGACUAUGUUAUGGCCUAUGCCAAUUUGGCCAGUAUAUAUUACGAGCAAGGCAACCUGGAAAUGGCAAUUUUCCAUUAUAAGCAAGCUAUCUCUCUUGACUCAGAAUUCUUGGAGGCAUACAAUAAUUUGGGUAAUGCUUUAAAAGAUUCUGGAAGAGUUGAAGAAUCAAUUCAAUGCUAUCGUCAAUGUCUUGCCCUGCAAGUUAACCAUCCUCAAGCACUCACUAACCUUGGGAAUAUAUAUAUGGAGUGGAACAUGCUGAGUGCUGCUGCUUCCUGUUAUAAAGCAACACUGUCUGUAACAACGGGACUUUCUGCUCCUUUCAACAAUUUAGCAAUAAUAUAUAAACAGCAGGGUAAUUAUGCGGAUGCCAUAUCUUGCUACAAUGAAGUCCUCAGGAUUGAUCCUUUGGCUGCUGAUGGACUUGUCAAUCGUGGGAACACAUACAAGGAGAUUGGAAGAGUUAAUGAAGCCAUUCAAGACUAUGUACGGGCUAUCAACAUCCGGCCUACCAUGGCCGAAGCUCAUGCAAAUCUAGCUUCAGCUUACAAGGACAGUGGACAUGUUGAAGCUGCUUUAAAAAGCUACAAGCAAGCACUUGUUCUACGCCCUGACUUUCCAGAAGCAACUUGUAACCUUCUUCACACGUUACAGUGUGUUUGUGACUGGGACGACCGUGAGAGCAAAUUUAUUGAGGUUGAAGGGAUACUCCAGAGACAGAUAAAGAUGUCAGUUAUUCCGAGUGUGCAACCUUUCCAUGCGAUAGCCUAUCCCAUUGAUCCAAUGCUUGCACUGGAAAUCAGCCGUAAAUAUGCUGCACACUGCUCUCUCAUUGCAUCCCGCUAUAAACUUCCCCCCUUCAACUAUCCUGCAACCUUAUCCAUAAAGGGUGAGGGUAGGAGUGGACGCCUAAGGGUUGGAUAUGUGAGUAGUGACUUUGGCAACCAUCCUCUUUCUCACCUCUUGGGCUCAGUAUUUGGCAUGCAUGAUAAAGAAAAUGUCGAGGUGUUCUGCUAUGCAUUAAGCCCAGAUGAUGGCACAGAAUGGAGGCAGCGUAUUCAGUCAGAAGCAGAGCACUUCAUAGAUGUGUCAUCCAUGUCAUCUGAUAUGAUUGCCAGGCUGAUUAAUGAGGAUAAAAUACAAAUCCUUGUCAAUCUUAAUGGCUAUACUAAGGGGGCAAGAAAUGAAAUAUUUGCCAUGCAGCCUGCUCCUAUUCAGAUUUCUUAUAUGGGAUUCCCUGGAACCACGGGGGCUAGUUAUAUUCAUUAUCUGGUCACUGAUGAGUUCGUAUCACCUUCUCAUUUUUCGCAUAUUUACUCAGAAAAGCUUGUUCACCUUCCUCAUUGUUACUUUGUAAAUGAUUAUAAGCAGAAAAAUCUCGAUGUACUGGAUCCUAACUGCCAAACAAAGAGAUCGGAUUAUGGCUUACCAGAGGACAAAUUUAUCUUUGCAUGUUUCAAUCAGCUGUACAAGAUGGAUCCUGACAUUUUCAAUGCAUGGUGCAAUAUUCUCAAGCGUGUCCCCAAUAGUGCACUUUGGCUCCUUAGAUUCCCAGCUGCUGGCGAAAUGAGACUUCGGGCCUAUGCGACUCAACGGGGUGUACAACCAGAUCAGAUUAUUUUCACAGAUGUUGCCAUGAAACACGAACAUAUCAGACGCAGUGCUUUAGCAGAUCUGUUCCUUGACACACCAUUAUGCAAUGCACAUACAACAGGCACUGAUGUUCUAUGGGCUGGUCUUCCUAUGGUGACCCUUCCCCUUGAGAAAAUGGCGACCAGAGUUGCUGGUUCACUGUGUCUGGCCACUGGUGUUGGAGAGGAGAUGAUUGUUAGCAGUAUGAAAGAAUAUGAAGAGAAGGCAGUCUCACUUGCGCUACAUCGCCCAAAGCUCCAGGAGCUCACCAACAGACUUAAAGCAGCUCGUUUGACUUGCCCUCUGUUUGACACAGCACGCUGGGUUAGGAAUCUGGAGCGAGCCUAUUUCAAGAUGUGGAAUCUGUACUGCUCUGGCCAACAUCCUCAGCCGUUUAAAGUAAGAGAGAAUGAUGCAGAAUUUCCUUGUGAUAGAUAGGAGCCGAGAUUGGGAAACGGGAUUGUACAUAAAUCAAAGAGUACAUUUGAGAUUAUUCUAGGUUACUGUCGGUUGGUUGUCCAAAUGUCAGCUGAGAUGUGUUGCAUCUUCCAAGUGGUUAUCUUGAUGGUGAUGUUCAUUCUUGGCUUUCACUAACAAAAGGAUCAGAGGUUCUUGUUCAGUGCUGUUCAUUGAUGAAGGACGCGUAUCACUUUUCCCUAAGAGGGCUGUUUGCUGCAUAGGUACAGCGUGUCAAGAUCUGAUGCGAUGCAACUGAAUUUGCAUUUGUGGUACUUGUCCCACCAAAGUUAAAAGUAAAGAGCAAGGGGUGGGUUAGGGAGCGUGGGUGUUAUGUUUAAAUGUUGCGUGAUCGCAAGCGCGAGCGCAGGGUUUCUUGUAUGAGAAAUCCUUGAAUUAUCCUUCCAUUGAGGCCUGGGAUUUUUUUGAAUUAUCUUACGAUCCUUUUCUUACAUAGUUUCCUCUUUCAUUGCCCAAGUAAUGCCGGAAGGAAUCUUUUGUCCAUUCUUUGAUCAUUUGAAGGUGAUGUGGCUUUUAAAAUUACCAUUGUUUUGAAAUUUAAUAGUGGUUCAUUUCAAAUUCAAUGAUAAUUUUAAAACUCACGGGGACAAAAGUCUUCAUUCUAGCUUUA